UAGACGUUCCCUUCGGGGACAUGGAUACAGGUGGUGCAUGGUUGUCGUCAGCUCGUGUCGUGAGAUGUUGGGUUAAGUCCCGCAACGAGCGCAACCCUUAUUAUCAGUUGCCAGCAUUAAGUUGGGCACUCUGGUGAGACUGCCGGUGACAAACCGGAGGAAGGUGGGGAUGACGUCAAAUCAUCAUGCCCCUUAUGACCUGGGCUACACACGUGCUACAAUGGAUGGUACAACGAGUUGCGAACUCGCGAGAGUAAGUUAAU
rnacentral:rRNA from 1 species